rnacentral:rRNA from 1 species
AGAAAUAUCACCAGGUUCAGAAAUAUUGGACAGAUUUGUCGGUACAUGGCCGGUAUUAGUUGGUGGAGCGAUUUGACAAGUUAUUGCAGAUAACAAAGAGACUCUGUAAUGCUGAAUAGUUUCAGCUUUUCUUUUGAACCGACAAUUCUUGUUAGAGGGACUGGCAACUCUUAGUCAAACGAGAUUGUGUAAUAA